GUAAAUCUCGGGCAGGCUAAUUAAGCCGCGGCGGUUGGCAUGGAAUGGAACGCACGAGCGUUCGGGAGAGAAGCUUACGGGUAUGGGGCGGGUCACACGUGCCAACACCUAGCCACCAGCAGUGUCUCGGACACACGGGGGAAACGAUCAGCAAGCAUGCACAAUAUGAGGAACCUCUCCAUGCAAAAUGUCUUGCAGUCUUUACCUGGUCAAGCGGAGUUCAUGAACAGGGGAGGCCCAUAACAUCCAUCGCUGCUGUGUGCCACUCUUUACCUCGUUGCACAGUUCUGAGGUUGAAGGUUUUCCAUCUUGGUGGCCGGUGCAGAUUUGAUGAGACGUUUCAUGAAGUCGUGUCUUCUGGCGUGGACGUCUGACUGGGGACUCGGGUUCCACUGCCGAGGGCAGAUCCGAGCUGUUUUAGACUGGGGACACUUUUGUCUGACUGGGUUCAUUUACAGUUCUGCUGGAGACUCCGGGAAAUGAAACAGAUACCUUUUGUCACAUCCUCCAACUCCACAUCCCUCUCUCUCUCUCUCUCUCUUUCGCUCACUCUCUCUCCCUCUCUCUCUUUCUCUCUCUCCCUCUUUCUCUCUCUCCCCCUCUCUCUCUCUCGCUCUGUGUCUCUCUGUUGUUUUCAUUCUUUAAACAGGCACACACAGUGCUGUGAGCUUUUUAUAAUGUGAACCAUUCACUGUUCUUAUUCACAAACACAUUACUGGCAGAAUGUAGACCAGACAGAAAGAAGAUGCGUGUGUGUGUGCGUGCGCGUGUUUGUGUGCGCGCGUGUGUGUGAGAGAGGUCUUUAGAGAGAUAGACAGUGUGUGUGUGUGUGUGUUGUUUGGAGUGUUGUGUGCGUGUCUGUGAGUGAGGGUAUCUGUUUGUGUUUAUGUUUAUGUGUGUGUGUGUUUGUAUACAAAGUCCCCAUUUAAAGUGGUUUGUAUGUGUUGUUUCUUUGUGUUUCUGAGAGUGUUGUUCUCUCUCUAGUCCAAACUAUGACAAUAAAAGUUAUAAAAAGUCAGUAAAAUAAUACCA
rnacentral:lncRNA from 1 species